rnacentral:rRNA from 1 species
GACGAACGCUGGCGGCGCGCCUAACACAUGCAAGUCGAACGAGCGAGGGAGAGCUUGCUUUCUCGAGCGAGUGGCGAACGGGUGAGUAACGCGUGAGGAACCUGCCUCAAAGAGGGGGACAACAGUUGGAAACGACUGCUAAUACCGCAUAAGCCCACGGUGCCGCAUGGCACAGAGGGAAAAGGAGCAAUCCGCUUUGAGAUGGCCUCGCGUCCGAUUAGCUAGUUGGUGAGGUAAUGGCCCACCAAGGCGACGAUCGGUAGCCGGACUGAGAGGUUGAACGGCCACAUUGGGACUGAGACACGGCCCAGACUCCUACGGGAGGCAGCAGUGGGGAAUAUUGCACAAUGGGGGAAACCCUGAUGCAGCGACGCCGCGUGGAGGAAGAAGGUCUUCGGAUUGUAAACUCCUGUUGUUGGGGAAGAUAAUGACGGUACCCAACAAGGAAGUGACGGCUAACUACGUG